UACAGAGGGCGCGAGCGUUGUCCGGAAUUACUGGGCGUAAAGGGCUCGUAGGCGGCCAACUAAGUCGGAUGUGAAAUCCCCAAGCUUAACUUGGGAACUGCAUCCGAUACUGGAUGGCUUGAAUCCGGGAGAGGGAUGCAGAAUUCCAGGUGUAGCGGUGAAAUGCGUAGAUAUCUGGAGGAAUACCGGUGGCGAAGGCGGCAUCCUGGACCGGCAUUGACGCUGAGGAGCGAAAGCUAGGGGAGCAAACGGG
rnacentral:rRNA from 1 species